UACGUAGGGGGCAAGCGUUGUCCGGAUUUAUUGGGCGUAAAGAGCGUGUAGGCGGUUUGGUAGGUCCGCUGUGAAAACUCGAGGCUCAACCUCGAGACGCCGGUGGAAACCAUCAGACUAGAGUCCGGAAGAGGAGAGUGGAAUUCCUGGUGUAGCGGUGAAAUGCGCAGAUAUCAGGAAGAACACCCGUGGCUAAGGCGGCUCUCUAGUACGGUACUGACGCUGAGACGCGAAAGCGUGGGGAG
rnacentral:rRNA from 1 species